UUUCCCAAGGUCUCUGUAAAGGCCCUUUAAAUACAUAAAGCAAAAUAUUGUAACCGUGCCUCUGAAAUAGUGUUAGAUUUUUGCCUGAAAGUCCAGGUGAUUGUAAUAAUUAGCAUCAGUACAGCACUUGCCAAGAUGCUGAGGCAGCUGAUGACUUUAAUGAGUUCUUAUGUUCUGCUACAGAGGAUAUGUAGUUUGCUACAACUAGUGGAUAUCACUCACCAGUUCUGUGAAGAUGGCAGCCUUCUUAUAAAUGAAUGUUGCAUUGCAAAAUUGUUUCAAAGCUGAACUGUGAAAAAUUGGUAAACUGGGCAGUGGUGAGAAUUCUGUUAGUUACAUGUGCCGAUGUAACUCCAAUAGCAUAAAUUUCAGAGGUGAAUUGCUAUUAGCUAAGAAGUCAGUGCAGAUCCUGAUGCCACCAACAUCAAAUGUGUUUCCACGUCAAUGUUGAUUAAAAGCUCUGUUCCUUCUAAAAUGGCGGCCAUAAUGCACCCUGGCAUCCUCCCAAGUGUACUCUCCAGUGCAGACAUCAUAAGUGCCCCCAUAGGUAAAGGUGAAUGCCUUCCAAGUAUGAAUAUACUAUGCUAUUCAUCUAGAGCCUGGAUCAUUGAAAUAUAGAUGGAAAAACGUGCUAAGAUAUUAAUUGAGUAUCUUACUAAGCAGCUAUAAGGACCACAGACCUGUAUGGUAUCCCCAAGUAUUCUCUUGGACAUACUUUUAUCUUAUCUUGGACAACUACUGAUGAGGAGGAGAUUGACAGACAUGAUAUUGCACAUUACAUUCAUGAAUAGUUCAGUGACAGGCCAAUUGACAAAUACUUUCCUGAUCUAUGAUUUCUUGAGAGCCCUUUUGGAUGGGGACGGGAAUAGUCAUCUGUACUAUGGACCACUUCUGCCUGGUUAAGUAGGUUGAGUGGUAUAUCUGCAGGGCCGUAUGGUCUGAUUUACCCAUGCAGAAUCAAGCCACAAGAGACCAAACUAUUACGUUUCCUGUUCAUUAGAAUGAAAUUAACUUAAGCUGGACUGCAUUUACUGUAUGUUGCUAUAUUAAAGUAAUGAA